rnacentral:rRNA from 1 species
UACGUAGGUGGCAAGCGUUGUCCGGAAUUAUUGGGCGUAAAGCGCGUGUAGGCGGCUGAGUAAGUCUGCUCUGAAAGCCCGGGGCUCAACCCCGGGAGGCGGGUGGAUACUGCUCAGCUCGAGUCCGGAAGAGGAGUGUGGAAUUCCUGGUGUAGCGGUGAAAUGCGCAGAUAUCGGGAAGAACACCCGUGGCGAAGGCGGCUCUCUGGGACGGUACUGACGCUGAGACGCGAAAGCGUGGGGAGCGAACAGG